rnacentral:lncRNA from 10 species
CAAAAGGUGAGGAAGAUAGCCAUCAUAGCUGAUGGAACAAGCAAAACAAAAGUCAUAAGGAAGAAUUGUACUCGUGUGUUUGAAGACAUCAAGGAAUCCGGGGCGAUAGACAUAGCAAGUGAGGGGAGGGUAUGAGAGGAAUUGGGUGGGAGGCACAGUGGGAGGCCAGGGCAUUUAAGAUGUUGAGGACUUUCGGCUUCAUGCAGCAUAACUGAGUAUAUUUAAGAAAGAAUGCUCAUUGAAUGUUCCCGUUACACCAUGCACUGAGGUAAGCGCUUUAUUUAUAUUUCUCUGUGAUUUUUUUGGUUAGUCUUCAAAUGUGAGACACUUGAGGGCAGGAGUGGAACUGUCUUCUUCACUAUUUCAAGGGCCAGGAAAGGGAGUGACAUUGAGAAGAGACUGAAUAAAAAGUUAUUAAAUGAAGGAAUGGAUUUAAAAGCACCCUGAUCUGCAGUGUACCUGAAACAGCAUAUACUUCAUAUCACAACUGUAGUAUCUUCAUCCUUGCUCAUGUUUUUUCCACUGCACUAAAGUGCUUCUUUAAAUAGAAGAAUCAAAAUAGUGGGAUUCAAUGAUAAGUAGAUGCUAUUUUGAAAUUUUAUUUUGAUUAGAAAUGGAUUGCAGUAAUAUUUUUACUUUCUGUGGAAUGGUUAUGUACAUAAUAAAUACUCUGCCUGCAUUGUAUUUGCAAAACAUCGAUGUCUUUGAUUUUGUGGCU